rnacentral:lncRNA from 1 species
CUCUUCUGUAGGCGCUGUGGAGCAGUGUAUACAAGGAAGAACGUCUGGUCAUGCCGCCCACCUCGAAACAUCGGGCGUCAGUCCUUCAGGCGAUGGAGCACAUUCCGUCAGAAGUCUUGAUAUCGGCGUCCCUACAUCUACGCUCUACCCACUACAGUCUUGUCACCGGCGUCCCUACAUCUACGCUCUACCCACUACAGUCUUGUCACCGGCGUCCCUACAUCUACGCUCUACCCACUAGUCUUGUCACCGGGGUCCCUACAUCUACGCUCUACCCACUUGGAGCCACAUCGGUCUACCUAAGGGAACUCGUCAGCCACAGCGGCGCUCGAGUCUGACCUGUACCCGCCCAAGUGUGAGAAGCCUGGCCUUCUGUUGCUGCUCCUCAUCGGUGUCCCAUGUGGUAGCAGUCCACCUCAAGUAGGUCUGCUUCUUCAGAAGAGGACGCAGACCGCGGAGGCGUGCGGUCCGGCACAGGUCCUGCCACUACUGGAGAACCAAACCAGUGUGUCCUAACAAUCCCCAACCUACGUCAAGAAAGACGCCAGCUGUUGUAUAACACACGGAGCCAUCCAGGGAGGGAGAACAACCCUCAACCUGCGGCAGGAAACUGGCUCCUCUUGGAGUGUCACAGACUCCAAGUGUCUGACAACACACGGAGCCAUCCAGGGAGGGAGGACAGACUGCCUCGCUUCAUCUGAUUUAACAAUACAUGUUGCCAGUCACUCUUGUAAUGUUAUUAUUCCUAGUCUAAUGUGAAUGUAUGCAUGCACAUAACCAAUACAUUUUGCCAAUUACUCUUUUGAUGUCAUUCCUUCCAUCUAAUGUGGGUGUGUCCACACAUGUAAUGUUUAUUCCUGUGUUCUGUUGUGUACCCACAUAACUGGUGUGUUACAACUCGUAAUAAAUCAUGAUUAAGAAAA